rnacentral:tRNA from 1 species
GCCUCGGUAUCGCAGUAGGCAGCGCGUCAGUCUCAUAAUCUGAAGGUCGUGAGUUCGAUCCUCACCCGGGGCA